rnacentral:tRNA from 1 species
GUCUGGGUGGCUCAGUCGAUUAAGUGUCUGACUUCGACUCAGGUCAUAAUCUCAUGGUUCGUGGGUUCAAGCCCCACAGCAGGCU